GGUCACCUGGUCCACAAAAAGGGCAGCAUCCUCACUGAAGGGAACAUAGAGACCUUCCAUGCUGCGCUGGAGAGCUUGCUUGGCGACCAUGACCCCGAGGUCGGGAGAGUUGCCUGCAAGACAGAGAAGAUCGUGAAGAAGGCCUUUUCCCUCCACUCCCGGCACGGGCUGCGGGCUGCCGUUCGGCGCUUGUGGGCGGGCUGUAAGAAGAAGAGACACCCGCCAGAGUACGGUGAUCUCUCCACCUGACCGACUGGAACAACAGCCCCGUGCUCUCCCCUGGAAGAUCAGCAGCUGAAGGGAGGUUCAGGAAAGACCGUGCAGCGCAGGGGCCUCCCAGAAGACCUCCUCCAACCGCGUGGACACAAGAUCUGUCCACAAGAAGACAUCCAGCAGGGAAGUGCAGUUCUGUCUGAGGAGUGAGGGGGAAGCAGGCUCCACUCCCCUGGCCCAAGGAAGCCCCGCCUCUGGGGUGCAGAAGCCCCUCCCCUUGCUUCUGCUGGCAGGCUGUGGGAGGAGGCUACAGGACCACCCUGCCCCCAAGUGGCCCUUUGGAACCAUUCUUGGGCUUCCCUUGGGUCCGGGGAGGCUGUGUGGCCCCAGCAGGAGGGCAAGGUCACCGCCUCCCUCCAUUCCCACCAGCUGGCCAAGGAGCGCCCCCUCCUCCUUCCACCUUUCUCCCCUUCCCCAGAGGCCUGGCUUCCCCUGGCAGGGGAAGCCCCAUCCAGGCAUCCGCCCCCUCCCCUGCCGAGGGUGUGCUCCUCCCCCCCUCCACUCCCGCAGCCACGCCUCACUCCCCCCUCCGCUCCCUCCUCCUUCCUCCCAAACCGGUGCAGCAGCAGAGGAGCCUGGGAGACUCUGGGGGCCCCCUGCAGCCCCAGUAGCGCCCCCUGGUGCUGCCCGGUGGCAGGCCAGAGAAUCCUCCUCUCCCUCCUGCUCCAUGCUGUGGCUGCACAGUGGGGAGCCCGAGGUCAAGCAGAAUUCUCUGGCUUCCCCCCCCCCUCAACCCCCAGCCCCCUGCCCAAUCCCCACUUGCUGGGCUGCCGGAGUGGAAAGGGAGGAGGAGCAGGGCAACCCCACUGACGCUGCUUUGUGCUUCUUGCAGGCUUGUGCUGCUGCUGGGCGGCCGGAGGAGUCGAUCCGCCCCAGAA